GUGGGCCACGCCUCCCCAACGAGUGCGCGACCUAUCUGGAAGGAUAGGA
rnacentral:ncRNA from 1 species